rnacentral:rRNA from 1 species
AUGGCAAUCCUCCUGGUGAUCGUGUGCUGCUGCUCCCUGCUGCCAUUCCCAUGCUCUGCCGUUUGCAAAGGGCGUGCAUUUGGCGACUUUGGUCAGAGUGCUGGGGCCGGGACAAAGGGAGGAGAUCAGGGGGGUGGGGUGCCAGCGCCAAGGGGAGGAGAGGACCAAUUUGAUCAUGGGGGUACGGGAUUAGGAGGAGGGAACCAAGUAGGACGGGCGCCUCCGUCACCACGGGGUAAGACACCGAGGAACCACAGGUGA